UACGUAGGGGGCUAGCGUUGUCCGGAAUCAUUGGGCGUAAAGCGCGUGUAGGCGGUCCGGUAAGUCCGCUGUGAAAGUCGGGGGCUCAACCCUCGGAUGCCGGUGGAUACUGUCGGGCUUGAGUACGGAAGAGGCGAGUGGAAUUCCUGGUGUAGCGGUGAAAUGCGCAGAUAUCAGGAGGAACACCAAUUGCGAAGGCAGCUCGCUGGGACGUUACUGACGCUGAGGAGCGAAGGCGUGGGGAGCGAACAGG
rnacentral:rRNA from 1 species